UAGGGUUUGAUUAUGGCUCAGAACGUACGCUGGCGGCACGCCUAAUACAUGCAAGUCGAACGAAGUAGCAAUACUUAGUGGCGAACGGGUGAGUAUAAUGUGGGUAUCUGCCUUUUGGUGAGGAAUAACACGGGGAAACUUGUGCUAAUACCUCAUAAGCCUUUACAGGGAAAGUUAUAACGCCAAAAGAUGAGCCCGCACUUGAUUAGCUAGUUGGUAAGGUAAUGGCUUACCAAGGCUACGAUCAAUAGCUGAUCUGAGAGGAUGAUCAGCCACAUUGGGACUGAGACACGGCCCAAACUCCUACGGGAGGCAGCAGUAGGGAAUCUUGCACAAUGGGGGAAACCCUGAUGCAGCGAUGCCGCGUGAGUGAAGAAGGCCUUUGGGUUGUAAAGCUCUUUCGUCGGGGAAGAAAAUGACUGUACCCGAAUAAGAAGGUCCGGCUAACUUCGUGCCAGCCGCCGCGGUAAUACA
rnacentral:rRNA from 1 species